UACAGAGGGGGCAAGCGUUGUUCGGAAUUACUGGGCGUAAAGGGCUCGUAGGCGGCCAACUAAGUCAGACGUGAAAUCCCUCGGCUUAACCGGGGAACUGCAUCUGAUACUGGAUGGCUUGAGAUUGGGAGAGGGAUGCGGAAUUCCAGGUGUAGCGGUGAAAUGCGUAGAUAUCUGGAGGAACACCGGUGGCGAAGGCGGCAUCCUGGACCAACACUGACGCUGAGGAGCGAAAGCCAGGGGAGCAAACGGG
rnacentral:rRNA from 1 species